CUGGGCAUGAGUCAUCAAAAAUUCAUUUCAAUUUCAAUAAAAAUACCGCAAGACUUUUUUGACAACCCAUUACUUUGUAAGAUAACUCAAAUUUCGUUUUUCCGUGAUUAGAUAUCUAACAACUUCGCUUCCAACUCAAAUGGCUGUCACAUACUAAGGCAAAAGGAAUUGCUAUAAUUGCAAAAUAAUCGUAUUUUCACGUUCAAAGGAAGUUCAUCGGUCGAUUUGGAACAGGCAUACAUCCACAUUUCUUAUCAUCGUCACAGUUGUGUGAUUCACAAAGCACUUGCAAAAGCAAAAGUAGCAAUUUGAAAGUCAAAAGAAACAAAUAUUCCUUUCCAAUGUGAAUGAUGAGUUGCAGUACUCAGCUUCUAUUGUAUUAUCCCGAUGCCUUGCAUUAAUCUUCUUAGUUGUUUUUGCAUAUGAUUUAGUAAACAUAACAGUGAGUUCUUCCUAAGCUCAAUAUGGAGGUACGCCUGUAUGAAGUAAGGAGCGAGGUGCGAUAGGUUAUUGGUUAUACUUUAUUUACACACAUAUGUACAUAUAUCGAGACAGUAUACAAAUAUUCAAGUAUUUCAAUAAUAAACUCUUCUUCUAGCUCAAAAAUAUCCAUUUACAUAUACAGCGGUACAUAUAUAUGAUGAGACAAUAACCGGUGUGUUUAACGUGGGCUGACGAUAGUCUUACCCCAUGGCGCUUAAUAAUCGAGUGGAUCAAAUCAAUGCCUUCCUCAGCGCCCCGAGAAUACGGAGCCAAUUGCAAGUGUGGAAUGGAUACACUAACCACUUUGGAAGGAUUUGAGGUCCAUCUGAAACUUCUUCCGUACUUUGGGUUUGGCACCCAGUUGCAAUGCAACUCCACGUUGAACUAACACGAGGUCAGUUCCUCCGCAUUCGGUUAUUAAACCACAACUAUCACGAUACUCUCCGAAAUGCCGUGCUGCAUGAGCAGGUUGAAACGAGCUCUAAACAGGAAGCAGGAGCCUCCCGUGUUACCAGAAUUAAGUCUCCGGUCAGAUCUCGUAGCCGAAACUACUGCCAGUUGAAAUUUCAUACUUCUCUGGAGUGAUGAUUAGGGGUUGUACCAACAGUUACAUUGCACGAACACACCAUUUCCACAAGAAGAUAGCCCUAAUUCUUAGUUAAGCGCCUUCGCUGUCUAAACUACUCACGCACCAGUCUAAUUCUUCGGAGAUCGGUAAUGACUGAGCACUUUGGACACUCCGUGAUCACAUGCACUCAAAAAAUGCAAUUCAAUGGCGAAAAUUGUAAAGUUUUCGACGUUUGUUAACUCAGCAAUAGUGCAAUGAUGAACUUGAUUCAAUGUUUAGCGAUGGGCAUAGAUCACUCAAAACAUCGAUUUGAUAAGUCAUCUACCGUAUAGUCUUGACUUGGCACCGAAUGACUUAUUUUGAACUAAGUGGCCGACGUUUUUCGACUCCUGAAGAGUGGUAAAAAUGCUUCAACAGUUGGCUUAAGCCCAUGUAAAAGUGUAUAGAUCUUAAUGAAGAUUUUGAUAAACAAUUUUUUCACUUAAGUAUUAACAUUUGUUUUCGUUUUCUAAUUGCUGUCAUCUAGAAGAAUUUUACUCCCUAGGUAUCCCCGCAUCUCCAUAUGAUCAUCGGAAAUCCGGCAAUUCUGCAUCAAUAAUACACUUAAUCAGAACAAGGGAAGAUGUACCUAAUAAAACCUGCAUCGCAUCCAUUGAAACGAAGUGACAUACAGUUAAAAUAAGCUAAUUCACAUAUUGGGCGAUGCAUAUACAUAAAGUAAUUGAUACCUAAUGGGACUGAAGGGAUUGACUCGAUUCAACGCACUUUUCACACAGACAUACCAUUGUCAGGAAAAGACGAUCCCUGAAUUUUAAUUCUAUAUGUCACACACCUACCGAUAUUUUCGGUAACUUUAGUGGUCUGAAGUAUCAGCUACUACACAUGAGAAUGAUGAACAAUGUUAUUGACCACUUUAGCGUAAGCACCGCUGCACGGAACGCUGAUAACCAACACAAGCACUUCUGAUUUAAUAUAACACAAUUCCAUCUAUAUAAAAUUAAACGUCAACUUACUGACGGAGGCAUCGAUGGUCACCUUUGACUUAAAUACAACAACAACACAUCCCUAGGUAUAAGAUGGCAGCGCAAUAAAAGCCACAGCAAGUGGACUGUUGAGCGUAUUGCAGCAACUUCUGCCUGCAGUCAACUCCUGGCAGCGCUCCGUUAGCUACUUUCGGCGCCAGCUACAAGCUGUGGCAUUGACAUCUGUCCGACAUUUAAUGUGCGUAAUCGUAACAGGUACCGUUAAACAGAUGGGUUGCUGUCAAGAUCAAGUGAUGGCUUAUGUUCGUACUUAGCUUAGUGUAAAUUUAUUGGCGUCUCUCGCAAGACGACAGGCAAUUAUGUGUGCUUCACACAUGCAAGUACUUACACUUCCACAUAUUAUAAUACACAAACAAGCCUACGCAUUUACUUGCAAGCCAUCAUCUUCGUAGCUCAGCCUUCCGGUACGUGAUAUAAUUUUUGGCAGCCAUGCCGGAAGAUGGAUUAUGAAAUAUAGAUGGGUGGAGGGUGAAGAUCUGUGAUGGCACACGAUACACGUGUUGAAAAAGUGAUGGUAUACCAAUGUAAAAUCAUUAUAACCAAAGUUACUUAUUAAUGUUGUUACUUCCUUUUGUAUCUGGCAUAUUAUUUUUAAGAUUUUCUCACAAGAAUAAAACGAGUUAU